AAUCAACGCUGGCGGCGUGCCUCAGACAUGCAAGUCGAACGAUUAAACUUGCCUUCGGGCAAGAUAUAAAGUGGCGCACGGGUGAGUAACACGUAAGUAAUCUACCUUCGAGUGGGGAAUAACGUCGGGAAACCGACGCUAAUACCGCAUAAUGCAGCGGCACCUAAUGGUGACAGUUGUUAAAGGAGCAAUUCGCUUGAAGAGGAGCUUGCGGCAGAUUAGCAGUUGGUAAGGUAAUGGCUUACCAAGGCUA
rnacentral:rRNA from 1 species